CAUGCAAGUCGAGGGGUAACAGGAAAGCUUGCUUUUGCUGACGACCGGCGCACGGGUGCGUAACGCGUAUGCAACCUACCUCAUACUGGAGGAUAGCCCCUGGAAACGGGGAUUAAUACUCCAUAGUAUCACGAAUUCGCAUGUUUUUGUGAUUAAAGUUUUUCGGUAUGAGAUGGGCAUGCGUCCCAUUAGCUUGUUGGUGAGGUAACGGCUCACCAAGGCAACGAUGGGUAGGGGGCCUGAGAGGGUGGUCCCCCACACUGGUACUGAGACACGGACCAGACUCCUACGGGAGGCAGCAGUGAGGAAUAUUGGUCAAUGGAGGCAACUCUGAACCAGCCAUGCCGCGUGAAGGAUGACGGCCCUAUGGGUUGUAAACUUCUUUUAUAGAGGAAGAAACUUAUCUACGUGUAGAUAACUGACGGUACUCUACGAAUAAGGAUCGGCUAACUCCGUGCCAGCAGCCGCGGUAAUACGGAGGAUCCAAGCGUUAUCCGGAUUCAUUGGGUUUAAAGGGUCCGUAGGCGGGUCUUUAAGUCAGUGGUGAAAGCCGACAGCUCAACUGUCGAACUGCCAUUGAUACUGGAGACCUUGAGUACAAAUGAAGUAGGCGGAAUGAGUCAUGUAGCGGUGAAAUGCAUAGAUAUGACUCAGAACACCGAUUGCGAAGGCAGCUUACUAACAUGUAACUGACGCUGAGGGACGAAAGCGUGGGGAGCGAACAGGAUUAGAUACCCUGGUAGUCCACGCCGUAAACGAUCAUCACUCGCUGUUGGCGAUAUACUGUCAGCGGCCAAGCGAAAGUAUUAAGUGAUGCACCUGGGGAGUACGCCGGCAACGGUGAAACUCAAAGGAAUUGACGGGG
rnacentral:rRNA from 1 species